UACGUAGGGUGCAAGCGUUACUCGGAAUUACUGGGCGUAAAGCGUGCGUAGGCGGUUUGUUAAGUCUGUCGUGAAAGCCCUGGGCUCAACCUGGGAAUUGCGAUGGAUACUGGCAAGCUAGAGUACGGUAGAGGAUGGUGGAAUUCCCGGUGUAGCGGUGAAAUGCGUAGAGAUCGGGAGGAACACCCGUGGCGAAGGCGGCCAGCUGGACCAGUACUGACGCUGAGGCACGAAAGCGUGGGGAGCAAACAGG
rnacentral:rRNA from 1 species